rnacentral:rRNA from 1 species
AGAGUUUGAUCCUGGCUCAGAACGAACGCUGGCGGCAGGCCUAACACAUGCAAGUCGAACGCCCCGCAAGGGGAGUGGCAGACGGGUGAGUAACGCGUGGGAAUCUCCCCUUUGGUACGGAAUAACUCGGGGAAACUCGAGCUAAUACCGUAUAAGCCGGUAACGGGAAAGAUUUAUCGCCGAAGGAUGAGCCCGCGUCAGAUUAGCUAGUUGGUGGGGUAAAAGCCUACCAAGGCUACGAUCUGUAGCUGGUCUGAGAGGACGACCAGCCACACUGGGACUGAGACACGGCCCAGACUCCUACGGGAGGCAGCAGUGGGGAAUCUUGGACAAUGGGCGCAAGCCUGAUCCAGCCAUGCCGCGUGAGUGAUGACGGCCUUAGGGUUGUAAAGCUCUUUCGCCCGUGACGAUGAUGACGGUAACGGGAGAAGAAGCCCCGGCUAACUUCGUGCCAGCAGCCGCGGUAAUACGAAGGGGGCUAGCGUUGUUCGGAAUUACUGGGCGUAAAGCGCACGUAGGCGGCGCAGCAAGUUGGGGGUGAAAUCCCGAGGCUCAACCUCGGAAUUGCCUUCNACUGCUGUGCUUGAGUUCGGAAGAGGUGAGUGGAAUUCCCAGUGUAGAGGUGAAAUUCGUAGAGAUUGGGAAGAACACCAGUGGCGAANNCGGCUCACUGGUCCGCAACUGACGCUGAGGUGCGAAAGCGUGGGAGCAAACAGGAUUAGAUACCCUAGUAGUCC